GGAAGUAUACAGAUCCUUUAUUUCAAUAAAAGUACUAAUACCACACUGUAAAAAUACUCUCUUACAAGUAAAAGGAAAAGAAAAUAGUAGGCCAACAAACAUGGAGUAAAAGGAAUAAAAAACCCAAAUCUGCGCUACAUGGAAGGGGGACAUAAUUAUUGUUGGCUACUGAUGUACAACCACAUUGAACAUUGUUAUUUUAUGAAUGAAAUAGACAUAACAAACCUGAGGGCCAAUUUGGGAUCAGUUGGACUACACUAAUGUAGUGGAGUAAAAAGUAAAAUAUUUCUCUCUGAAAUGUGGUGGAGUAGAAGUAGAAAGUGAC